rnacentral:rRNA from 1 species
AUAGAUACCCCGGUAGUCCACGCCGUAAACGAUGUCGACUUGGAGGUUGUUCCCUUGAGGAGUGGCUUCCGGAGCUAACGCGUUAAGUCGACCGCCUGGGGAGUACGGCCGCAAGGUUAAAACUCAAAUGAAUUGACGGGGGCCCGCACAAGCGGUGGAGCAUGUGGUUUAAUUCGAUGCAACGCGAAGAACCUUACCUACUCUUGACAUCCAGAGAACUUUCCAGAGAUGGAUUGGUGCCUUCGGGAACUCUGAGACAGGUGCUGCAUGGCUGUCGUCAGCUCGUGUUGUGAAAUGUUGGGUUAAGUCCCGCAACGAGCGCAACCCUUAUCCUUUGUUGCCAGCGGUUCGGCCGGGAACUCAAAGGAGACUGCCAGUGAUAAACUGGAGGAAGGUGGGGAUGACGUCAAGUCAUCAUGGCCCUUACGAGUAGGGCUACACACGUGCUACAAUGGCGUAUACAAAGAGAAGCGACCUCGCGAGAGCAAGCGGACCUCAUAAAGUACGUCGUAGUCCGGAUUGGAGUCUGCAACUCGACUCC